UCAGGAUGAACGCUAGCGGCAGGCUUAACACAUGCAAGUCGAGGGGCAUCGGGAGUAGCAAUACUUGCCGGCGACCGGCGCAAGGGUGCGUAACGCGUGAGCAACAUGCCCGUAUCAGGGGGAUAAUCCAUGGAAACGUGGUCUAAUACCCCAUAGUAAUUAUGUAAGGCAUCUUAUAUAAUUUAAAGCUUUGGUGGAUACGGAUUGGCUCGCGUGACAUUAGCUGGAUGGUAAGGUAACGGCUUACCAUGGCUACGAUGUCUAGGGGUUCUGAGAGGAAGGUCCCCCCACACUGGAACUGAGACACGGUCCAGACUCCUACGGGAGGCAGCAGUGAGGAAUAUUGGACAAUGGAUGGAAAUCUGAUCCAGCCAUGCCGCGUGCAAGGAAGACGGCCCUAUGGGUUGUAAACUGCUUUUGUAUGGGAGCAAUAAGGGCUACGUGUAGUCCGAUGAGAGUACCAUACGAAUAAGCACCGGCUAACUCCGUGCCAGCCGCCGC
rnacentral:rRNA from 1 species